UAUAUAUAUAUAUGUAUGUAUGUAUGCAUGUAUGUAUGAAUGUAUGUUUACAUGUAUUGUAUAUUUGAAGAAUAGAUGAAGGAUUAAAAUUAAUCGGAGGACAUGCUAAGUAUGUCUAUCUGCUGGAAAUAACAGUCAAAACUCUUAUUUAAAUCGCCAAAAUUCACUGAUGAUAACUACAGAAAUCAACCAUCCGAAGGCAAACGGGCUAAGACAAUCUCCCAACGUACAUACAAGUAUAUCGAACACACACACACACACACACACACACACACACACACACACACACACACACACACAUAUAUAUAUAUAUAUAUAUAUAUAACGGCUCUAGUAUAACUCCUUCACAAUCAGUUUAGAAACUUUUCAUCCCACUCUCGUGCAUUAAUUCGUAGGUAAUUAGUUAAUGAAACAAGCUCUACACCGUCUUGACGCCUGGGUGUGUUUUUAUUCGGGUUCUCAAUGCGAAAGGGUGUAAAAUUGCCCAGUAGGGAAUGGUUCAGAUCUUUUGCUAUGUCAUUUUUGCUGAGUAAGAACAGAACGGAUAGCGUCAUAAUACGAAACAGUGUGUAUGAGCUGAAAAGAUCGUUAACGAUUACCUGCGACUAAUUGAUUACCCGGAAAAAUUUGAAUAGCUGACAACAGAAUCACAUCUAGAUAAAAAAAAAAACCCUCACUAAAUGACAGCAACAAAUAAAAAGAAACAGCAUCAGCCUCACCUACAUACCAGCACCAGCACCAACACCAACGCCGACUACUCGCCGCACUAGGCCUCACUACAUUACACCAAAGGUUUAUCGCACCAAUCCCUUGUGACCCGAUCAAUUUCACCCGAUCACCUGCUUGUUCGUCUCACAUAAAACAUCACGAUUGAAUGGAAUGUCAACCCGAUUGGAUUCAUUCAUUUUUACGAUGAAUGACGGGUGGCGGGUUCCUACCUGCUCCUUGUUCAUUUCCUCGAUGAUGACGUCGACAGAGGAGUAGCCGUUGGACAGGAGUGGCAGAGUUAAUUGACUGGACCCAUUACUUUGACAGAAGAACGAAAAGCCAGGUCGACCUAUGUGAAAUUUUUAGGUAGAAAUGCAACGCACCAAAUUUGUCAUUGUAAAACAUCUAAAUUUGACACUUCAGAAUCUGUACUAGUUUCACCAGCCUUUUUUGUCUUGCAAAUUAUAGCAAAGUGUUUUAUUUGUGGAAUGGAAAGUUAUCAUCGCCCUCGCUAGAAGUUGUAUUUAUCUAAGAUGACAUUUAGAAUUGUUUAAUUAGCAGGUCGUCCGGUGAUCAAAUUAAAAAGUCGUUUAGUAUUGGCUACCGUUCAAUUUUAAGGACGCCUGUUUAAGACAGACAUGUGUUGACUGAUCACAGAAGCUUAUAUAUGCACCUUAAACAUAAUAUUAUUUCUCUGAAUGGAAAUAUACUGAACAAGGCGGAGUCAGUCGAGUCCUUACCGGAAACUUUCGUAGUAUCCUGGUUUCGUUAUCUUAUAGAACAAAGAUCAAGUCCUGCUGGCAAUGAGAAAAGCAAAGGAAAAUGACAGUAAACCGCAGGAGUAAAUUAAUUACAUACACGAUCCCAACGGUAUUGCCUUCGUCUACGAAGAGGAGGAAAAUAAUAAAUCUUUAAAAGAUAUCAUUUAGUGAGUCAGGAAGAAGGAUCAUUCCCCAUGAGCUUUGCAACCCCUCAAACAAACCUCGUUUAAACGGAAUAUUUAUGGCUUCGAGUUCGUAGGUUUCCUGAAAUGAGGGAUCUUGAGGCCAUUAAUUGUGAACUGUUUGAGCUAAUGCAGAUCAUCACCUGCGGGAAGACGUGAGCAGGGAGAAAAUUUCAGAGGACAGAUAUUCUGGGGGAGAAAGACUAGAACGGUAUUUAGUGUUUUGAAUGUAAUGAGAAGUGGAGAGACACGACUAGAAGGUUGGGUGAGACUUGGUGGUGGGGGCUAGGAGGCCAGUACGUUCUGAGGAACAGAUUUCAUUAUAGUAAUUAUAGCAGUGAUAGGAAAGGCACAAAGAAGAGACAAAAGCUGGAAGACGUUCGUUAACGAUAAAAGCCAGCCAUUCAAAUGGCCUUUCUUGGAUAUGGCCCAUGGUGUCUGUGCGCAUAGCAGCAGCAGCAAUGUCACAAAUGUAGGAACAGUACUCCAUUGUAAACCUUACAUGAGCCUUGUGGAGUGUCAGCAGCAAUUAGGGUCCGAAAUUCUUACUGACCCUGAAGAGAGGAAAAUUUUGAGAGUUAUGAUACCAGCUAUGUUGAGAAUGUGCUUUCUCCAGGGAGAUCCAUCGGUGAUAGGGUCGGGGCCUAGUUCAUGGAGCGAUUUCUUUGUUGUUUAGACCCUUGCCAGCCCUGGUCCCCGAGUAUAUGAUGAGAGCCCUUCUAACUGUUGCUAUGUUGUCAUUUCAGUGAAACUGGUUUAUUUUAGAUUACGUAAUCCAAAAUAUGCGUUUUGUUCUUAGAGAUAAUUCGCUGUUAUUUCCAGAAGCUUAAAUCAUUUCGUAGAGGCUGCUCCCAUGUUAUGCUUAGAGGUGUGGUGCACGAUAUUGUAGCAGUAUAUUCUGUAGAAAGCACAUCCUUUUAAGACUCACAAAGAUUGACAAUCCUUAGUUCCAUUGUUAACGAAAUUAUAAAUCCUCCAUUUCCCAAUGGAGACUAAGAAAUUGCUAUCUUAUACUCUAUGUGUCUGUAUACAUAUUCAUUUUACUUACGACCGUUUAUGUAUGCAAAAGCCCCGAGGCUCUUGGUGUUGAGCGGUUGAGUCACAUCUGGAGCUACGUGGUAAUAAAAGUGAAAUCCUUUAUCACACGGUCGUCAAUAUAUUAUGAUAACAGGCGCUCGACUUACAAUUGAGCACAGAAAAGACAUGUAUUUGUAACUGAUUACUGUCGUUGAUGGAGAGAAAAUAAUAUAACAUUUUACUUUUUCUAAACAGAAACUAGCCUCAUUUUAUCAUAUAUAACCUUUAGUCAAGAUCGUAAUUCUUAUCUCUAUAACCCUAUUUCUCCCACUUCGUUCAGUCACACACAUACAUACAUAUACGUAUACCUGUGUGUAUAUGUAUAUCUUUUACUUGUUUUAGCUGCUGGAUUGCGGCCAUGCUGGGGCACCACCGUGAUUUGUUUCGUGGAGCAAGUCGCGCAUUACUUAGGUCUUUUAAGUCUGGUAUUUAUUUUUAUCGGUAUCUUUUGUCGAACCGCUGAGGAAAACAACACCGGUUGUUAUGCGAUGGUUGUGAGAUAGAUAUAAACACUCACAAACAAUCACACUCACCGCUUUAUAAGCUAAUUCUACCCCAAUCCAUUUCAUUGUCUUAUUUUUUUGCAAUAUUUAUAUUGGUCUCAAAUUUUAGCACAAAGCCCGCAAUUCCGGGGGAGGGAUUAAAUUGAUUACAUCGAUCUCAGUACUCAACUGGUUCUUAAUUUAUCGACCCCGACAGGAUAAAAGGCAAAGCCGACCUCGACGGAAUUUGAACUCAAAACGAAGAGACAGACGAGAUGCCGGGCAUGCUAACGCUUCUCCCAGCUCAUCUUUUCUUAUGCUGCCAUAUUUAUAUUAAUAUUAUUUAAUAUUCCUCUCUGCUGUAGGCGCAAGGCCUGAAAUUUGGUGGGAGCGGGUAAGUUGGGUGCCCUGUUGUUUUAAUAUAUAUCUAUAUUUGAUUUGUGAUAAUAUGGGAAUGAUAUAAAGUUGUU